AGUGAACGCUGGCGGUAGGCCUAACACAUGCAAGUCGAACGGCAGCACAGUAAGAGCUUGCUCUUACGGGUGGCGAGUGGCGGACGGGUGAGGAAUACAUCGGAAUCUACUUUUUCGUGGGGGAUAACGUAGGGAAACUUACGCUAAUACCGCAUACGACCUACGGGUGAAAGCAGGGGAUCUUCGGACCUUGCGCGAUUGAAUGAGCCGAUGUCGGAUUAGCUAGUUGGCGGGGUAAAGGCCCACCAAGGCGACGAUCCGUAGCUGGUCUGAGAGGAUGAUCAGCCACACUGGAACUGAGGCACGGUCCAGACUCCUACGGGAGGCAGCAGUGGGGAAUAUUGGACAAUGGGCGCAAGCCUGAUCCAGCCAUACCGCGUGGGUGAAGAAGGCCUUCGGGUUGUAAAGUCCUUUUGUUGGGAAAGAAAAGCAGCAGGUUAAUACCCCGCUGUUCUGACGGUACCCAAAGAAUAAGCACCGGCUAACUUCGUG
rnacentral:rRNA from 1 species